GGGUCUGUAGCUCAACUGGUUAGAGCGCCACAUUGACAUUGUGGAGGUAAUGGGUUCGACCCCUAUCAGACCCA
rnacentral:tRNA from 2 species